rnacentral:rRNA from 1 species
UACGGGGGGUGCGAGCGUUGUCCGGAAUCACUGGGCGUAAAGGGCGCGUAGGCGGCGCGGGUAGUCAUCGGUGAAAGUUCAGGGCUCAACUCUGAAUCGGCCGGUGAUACUCCCGUGCUCGAGCACUGUAGAGGCAGGUGGAAUUCCGGGUGUAGCGGUGAAAUGCGCAGAUAUCAGGAGGAACACCGGUGGCGAAGGCGGGUCUCUGGGCCGAUACUGACGCUGAGGAGCGAAAGCGUGGGGAGCGAACAGG